rnacentral:rRNA from 1 species
CCUACGGGUGGCAGCAGUCGAGAAUCAUUCACAAUGGGGGAAACCCUGAUGGUGCGACGCCGCGUGGGGGAAUGAAGGUCUUCGGAUUGUAAACCCCUGUCAUGUGGGAGCAAAUUAAAAAGAUAGUACCACAAGAGGAAGAGACGGCUAACUCGGUGCCAGCAGCCGCGGUAAUACAGAGGUCUCAAGCGUUGUUCGGAAUCACGGGGCGUAAAGCGUGCGUAGACUGUUUCGUAAGUCGUGUGUGAAAGGCGCGGGCUCAACCCGCGGACGGCACAUGAUACUGCGAGACUAGAGUAAGGGAGGGGGAACCGGAAUUCGCGGUGUAGCAGUGAAAUGCGUAGAUAUCGAGAGGAACACUCGUGGCGAAGGCGGGUUCCUGGACAUUAACUGACGCUGAGGCACGAAGGCCAGGGGAGCGAAAGGGAUUAGAUACCCUAGUAGUC